AAGCUAACUGAGUGUUUUAAAGAUGUUAAAGACUGGAUGACCAACAAAGUUUUUUCUCCUAAAUUUAGAUAAAACAAAAGUAUUACUUAUUGAGCCAAACUCCUGUACACAACAGAUCUCACAACUUGACCUGCAAUUGGAGGGAUACAAAGUUAGCGUUACCUCUGCUAUAAAAGAUCUGGCUGUCAUAUUAGACAGCAACUUAACUUUUGAAAACCAAAUCUCCCAUGUUUUCUUUCAUCUGAGAAAUAUUGCUAAGUUAAGAAGCUCCAUCUCAGAUGCAGAAAAGCUAGUUCUUGUGUUUAUGACUUCUAGGCUGGAUUACUGUAAUGCAGACAUCCCAAGCCUCUUAGAAGCUCCGGGAGUAUCCCACAACUGCAUAGUGACUCCGCAAAUGAAUUAAUAAAAUCGCGCAUCUCUCACCAAGUCCUUAAAUACGUUGCACACUCCUCUCCACUGCAUCCCUCCCAGCUCUUCAGGUAUGUCGAGUGCAACUCACCCCCACCGCUCUUCAGGUAUGUCUUGUGUGCACACGCCCUUACUCAGAUUCAUCGCUCACCACCAACCCUGGUAAAGCAUACUCUUAAUGCUUCACAUAAUGGUAUGAUGCAUGAAUGUGCUCCACGCAGGUGAGUGGGCUUGACAGACCACCUGUAAGACACUCUCCUCUCUUAAUGCACCAGGCAUUUUGUUAGAAAUACAUGUAUGCUUUAUAUGUCUGUUUUUAUGUUAUGUUUAUUGUUUUUUUGUUUUUUCAGCUACAAUAAAAGCAAGUUUUUAGUUCUGUUAAGUAAUAAGUUAUGCGGAUAUAAAGUGUAACAUACACUAUAUCAGUUACAACAUAAGGCCGUGGAAGAUUUUUUCAUCCAUAUUUGAAAUUUUGUUUCAUAAAAGUAAUUUUAAACAAAAAGAAAACAAUUUACUUGGGAAUGGCUCACGUUUUCAUUAUUUUUUAUUUAUGACAAUGUGAACUCAAAUCUGACUUUAUAUCUCUCCAGUUACAGGCUUCAGGCAUGAAAUGUGUAAAAAAGGCUGAAUAAAAUGUAGAGAUCAGUUUAAAAUGAGUAACAAUAAGCUGUUUGUCUCUUCAGGCUGAGAAUCAUGAAUAAUGCUGCUGAAGAUCAACAGGUUUCUCUCACUUGUCGAAUGUCUUCUUUCAGAUUGUGGAGGAAGCUCCUACAAGAAGCUUGAGUUUGAUCCAGAAUGGCUGGCCAUCUUGAAAGCGACAGACAACCUUCAAAAACCAUCCGCCAGUUUCUGGAACCCUCUGUUGGACAACACAGCAGACACAAAACACAUAACAACGAUUUACUGAUAGCUUUCUGAUACUACUGUACCCUUUUCACAAGCCUGACGUGUUUAGCUGUCUUCGGCAUCUGAAAUCCUUAAAAAUUUUUAACGUUUUGUUUUUUAAAAAAACAUAUGAACAUUUAUAUGUGUUUAUGAAUGUAUCAUAUCAUCUUGCUUCGAAUUAAAAAAAAAAUGAAUUGUGCAAUGUGUUUCCAAUGCAGCGUCUACAAGGCUGAGAGUAAAAUUAACCUUAUUCUCUCCUCUGGCUGCUGUCAUCAGUCCCACACUAGUUUUUUCCUUUUCUGAAAGUCUUUAUAACAUCAUUGUGGAGUUUGUCUUUUAUUAUUUUACUAAGUUAUUUGUUGUACUCACUCUCCCAUUCACUGCGCUCUAUGUUUUCCCUACUAUGAUGACAGAAAUGUGAAAAGGGUCUAUUGACAACUUUGGCUUAAAAGAAUAGUUCACCCGAAAAUGAAAAUUACCCCAACAUUUACUCCAUCAUACAGUAUACCCUCAAGUCAGACUCAGGUCAGGUGUAUAAAUGUUUAUGGGGGGAUUUUUAUUUUUGGGUGACAUAUUUGUUUAACUCGUUCAUCCCAGUAGAUGUAACACAUUUACAUGACAUGCGCAAUAAAAUAAGGUCAAAUUACUG